UGGCUCAGGACGAACGCUGGCGGCGUGCUUAACACAUGCAAGUCGAACGAUGAACCGCUUUCGGGCGGGGAUUAGUGGCGAACGGGUGAGUAACACGUGGGCAAUCUGCCCUGCACUCUGGGACAAGCCCUGGAAACGGGGUCUAAUACCGGAUAUGACUGUCCGCCGCAUGGUGGAUGGUGUAAAGCUCCGGCGGUGCAGGAUGAGCCCGCGGCCUAUCAGCUUGUUGGUGAGGUAGUGGCUCACCAAGGCGACGACGGGUAGCCGGCCUGAGAGGGCGACCGGCCACACUGGGACUGAGACACGGCCCAGACUCCUACGGGAGGCAGCAGUGGGGAAUAUUGCACAAUGGGCGAAAGCCUGAUGCAGCGACGCCGCGUGAGGGAUGACGGCCUUCGGGUUGUAAACCUCUUUCAGCAGGGAAGAAGCGAGAG
rnacentral:rRNA from 1 species